GGGAAUGUGGCUUAGUGGUAGAGCGCUUGCCUAGCAUGCAGGAAGCCCUGGGUUUGAUUCCUCAGUACCA
rnacentral:tRNA from 1 species